UCUAACACGUGGUUUCCAUGUGAUUGAUACCAUUCCGUUGUCUCCAUUCCAGCCAUUAUUAUAAGCCGUCCUCCCCUCAGCAGCCUCCACUGGCAUACAUGGAUUAUAUAUAGCAUCUUCAAAACGUGAAUCUCAGACCUGACAUGUCAAACCCAGGUAUGUGAAAUGCUCCUUCCUCCUGCUGAAUUGUGUUUCAACAGUGUUCAACAAUGUUCCUUCAUAUAACCCCCCCCAGAAUUUUCUAGCUACAUCAUGGUUCUGAAACAUAUAACUCCCAAAAGCAAAUAUAGCUGAUCAUGCAAAUUCAGACAUGCAUUAUAAGGAUGAGUCCCAAAUGGCACCCUAUUCCCUAUAUAAAGCAUUAACCUAUGGACCUUGGUCAAAAGUACUGCACUAUAUAGGGAAUAGGGUGUGCCACUUUGGGAUUGAGCCCACAUAUGACCAAGGAAGGAACAUCGACCGCUAACUUUACCUACUAAUAUGCAUAAUUCAGACAGACUUUACCUUCUGUAUUCAUGCAAAAUUCAAACACUCUCCACUGCCAUUACAACCUUACCAGAGAGAAGACCUCUCCAACUACACAGACCCCAACAACUGUGAAAAGAUGAACAAUUCCGUAGACGGCAAUUCUACUCUCCUCUCCACCAAAACCCUACUUUAUGUCCAGUAUCUAUUAUACACUGCUGGCGACUCAAUAAACCUCAUCCUGAGUCUUCCCACCAAUGCCUACGUCCUGUGGCUGAUAGUGAGCGGAGCGGGGGGGAUGAUGGCCUCAGACUUUUUCUCUCUCAACCUGGCCGUGACUGAUAUACUCACCUGCUUGUCCAGUCUGAUGUUUAUACUCCAUAAUCACAUCCUGCAUUACCUGCAAGAGGAUGGUGUUUUAUGGAGCGUUGCGAUUUUCUUUAAGGGUUUCAUCCUUACUGGUCGUCCUCUGUUCCAGUGUUGUAUCUGUGUGGAGCGCUACCUGGCGGUGGUCUACCCAGUAACCUUCCUGAAGUACAAACCCCCUAGGUACAGGGUGGGGUGUUGUGCUGUCGUCUGGCUGAUGGUGCUUGGGUCCUGCUUUGCUUAUAUGCUUGGUGAAUCAAAAUGUAUAAUGAAUGACUUUACUUUGGGUUUCACCCUGGUUAUGUGUUCUGUGAUGUUGUUCUGCUGCCUGGCUGUUCUCAGGGCCCUGAAAUGUCCUGGGCCAGGGGAAGAGGAAGGGAUGAACAACAUGAAACUGAGGGCCUUCAAAAUCAUUUCAAUGAUCCUGGUGUCUAUGGUUGUCACGUACCUCCCACUGGUUCUUCAGUUGAUCAUUUAUCGUUUUAUAAAACAAGUGGAGUAUACAUUUGGUAUGUCCAUUUGUUUCACUAUCCUAGUGGUCUCUGGGUUUGUGCAGCCCCUUCUCUACAUCCACAGAGCUGAGAAACUGCCCUGUAUCAGGAGUCCCUGAGGAGAUCGUCCUUAAAGAAGCUACAUGUAGCAUUUCAACCUAUUAGCUCUGAAUGGCAAUAAUAUAUCAUCUAGCAGUAAUGGAAUGAAAUUCUAUAAUUAUUUAAACAUUGUCCCUGACACCAGGGCUGCCAAAUUUUUGAACUUUUCCUAAAUUCCCAGGUUUUACAGAAAUCAGAAGGAAAUGGGCCAGAAAUCUGGAAUCCUCCAACCAAGAUUUCUGGGAAGACCUGGUCAUUUUUGGAAAGUAACCAGAAUAUUGCAACCCUACAUGUGAUAGAGACCAACUCAGGGACCUUGUGGGAGAUUGAUCCCUGGCCGAGUCAUACCAAAGAAUGUAUGGGACCAGAUGUUUCUCUGCUCGCUCCAUCAUUUCCUGGCUGCUAAAUAUGUAAUAGUUUGCCUGAUUUGAAAUGUCUUUUCAAUAACCAAAACUAUUGUAUUUUCAAGUAAAAUACACAAAAACAAAACUUAAGGGAAGCAUAGAAAUAACACACAUAGAACAGAUCUAACGCUUCUUAGAUGUGAAUUUGGUCGGGUUCUAAAAAAAAAAGUGACAUAUUGCAGUUUUAAAGGGAUAGAUUGAUGGUAAGGCCCUGCGAUAGACUACAGUCCUGUCCAGGGGGUGUACUUGUACAUCAACCUGCCUCACGGAACAGAAGAGAGACUCCUGCUCCUAUGAGCCGUUUUGGCUUGCACAAGCCAAGGCUCGUGCAAGACUACUUAUACAAUGUGAUACAAUACAACACACCCAUGCUAAGUA